UUCUCAUGAACAUGUCCGCAGAGUGCGCAUUUUGCUUUUUAAUUAAAAAGCAAAAUGCACACUCUGUGGACAUGUUCAUAAGAAUAUAAAUUUUUUUGUGCAAUGAAAUCUACAACACUUGUCAAUCAUAUUGCAUGACUAUGUCUAAAAAUAACAUGUGGGCGUCCCACGGUCUAGACAGGUUUUGUGUCAGACCCUAUUUAAAAUUAGGGCCUAAACCUCAGGUUACAUUUCAACCCCAUAUCCGUUCCGUUCCGCAUUUUAACCCCAUAUCCGUUCCGUUCCGCAUUUUAACCCCAUAUCCGUUCCGUUCCGCAUUUUAACCCCAUAUCCGUUCCGCAUUUUAACCCCAUAUCCGUUCCGUUCCGCAUUUUAACCCCAUAUCCGUUCCGUUCCGCAUUUUAACCCCAUAUCCGUUCCGCAUUUUAACCCCAUCCGUUCCGCAUCCGUUUCCGCGUUUUAACCUAACCCCUUGCCAAGUUUGCAUAUUUUUAGCAUAUUUGUAUUACGUGCGAA